GGGUGAGUAACACGUGGAUAACCUACCUAUAAGACUGGGAUAACUUCGGGAAACCGGAGCUAAUACCGGAUAAUAUUUUGAACCGCAUGGUUCAAAAGUGAAAGACGGUCUUGCUGUCACUUAUAGAUGGAUCCGCGCUGCAUUAGCUAGUUGGUAAGGUAACGGCUUACCAAGGCAACGAUGCAUAGCCGACCUGAGAGGGCGAUCGGCCACACUGGAACUGAGACACGGUCCAG
rnacentral:rRNA from 1 species